rnacentral:rRNA from 1 species
AUUGAACGCUGGCGGCAGGCAUAACACAUGCAAGUCGAGCGAGCGGCGGACGGGUGAGUACUGUCUGGGAAACUGACUGAUGGAGGGGGAUAAAUACUGGAAACGGUAGCUAAUAACGCAUACCAUCAGAUGUUCCCCGAUGGGAUUUGCUAGUAGGUGGGUUAAUGGCUCACGUAGGCGACGAUCCCUAGCUGGUCUGAGAGGAUGACCAGCCACACUGGAACUGAGACACGGUCAAGACUCCUACGGGAGGCAGCAGUGGGGAAUAUUGCACAAGGGGCGCAAGCCUGAUGCAGCCAUUCCGCGUGUAUGAAGAAGGCCUUCGGGUUGUAAAGUACUUUCAGCGGGGAGGCGUUACUCGCAGAAGAAGCACCGGCUAACUCCGUGCCAGCAGCCGCGGUAAUAC